UACAGAGGUCUCAAGCGUUGUUCGGAUUCAUUGGGCGUAAAGGGUGCGUAGGCGGCGCGGUAAGUCGGGUGUGAAAUUUCGAGGCUUAACUUCGAAACUGCAUUCGAUACUGCCGUGCUUGAGGACUGGAGAGGAGACUGGAAUUUACGGUGUAGCGGUGAAAUGCGUAGAUAUCGUAAGGAAGACCAGUGGCGAAGGCGGGUCGUCGUGGACAG
rnacentral:rRNA from 1 species